UUCUUCGUUUUUUCAUGGUUCAAUAUCGUGUAUUAGUAGCAUCUGUUUAUUUUUAAACAUGUUUUUCGAUAAUUAUUCGAAGAAGGGAAAUUUCAUGGAUUUCGAUGAUUUUUAAGUAUAUUAUACGGAAAAUAAGAUUUUGAAUAAUUUUUCUCUAUGUAUAUAAUCGCCGCUUGUGUUUGGUUUUCAAGAUAUUUGCAAAAGAUGAUUGCUAUUAUUAGUUGAAUUUAAAUUGAAUUUCAUAUAUAUAUAUAUAUAUAUAUAUACAUCCAUGGCAGUGUAUGUGACAUGUCAGUAUACGAUUAUAAUUUAUCUAUUAUUUAUAAGCAUAUCAUGGUGAUUGGUAACCAAAAUGUGUAACGAGUGAGUUGAUAUUAUUGUGCUUAAUUUAUCUUUAGAGAGUUCUUUUAGAUCUGCGGAAUACGCAAAUUGAAAACAACCCUUGGAUGAUUGAAACCAAAGUUACAGAAUAUAUAUAAGUAUAUAUAAGUAUAUAUAUAUAUAAGUUACAUAAUAAUAUAAAUAUUAUACUUAGUAGCUAUUAUAAUUUCAAUCAUUAUAAUUUUUUCUGUCAAAAGUUGUUUUUAAUUUUAUUUUUGUAUUAAGAAUCCACUCAAUCAUGCUCACUAUAUAUUCACUAUAUAUAUAUUGGGAAUGAUUAUUUUAAAUCUAUAAUUCGUUUCUUAGAUUUUAUUUGGAUUACUCAGAUCUGUUUAUUUUGAUUUUGUUUGAAUUUAUUGAAGACUGAUGUGCAUCAAUUGAUACUUGAAUUAGUGAUAAAGUUUGAACGGUGUUUUCUAAUCUUUUUUGAGACAUGAUUCUUUUUCUAUAAUAUUCAAAUAAUUUGUUAUCUUAUUUUUUUUCACAAUCAUGAAAAAUUCAAAAUUCAAUUCAAUUCAUUUUAGGAUUAGAUAAAUAUAAUAUUCUAUUUCAGAGAUAUAUAGAAAGUCUAAAAAAUGAAAUGAAAAAAUGAAAAAGAAGUAUCAAAAAAUUGUUACAGAAUGAAUAUAACAUUGUUUGGAUAGAAUAGAUCAUAAAUUACUCCUUUAUAUGUUUGGCAAGUUUAAUUGUGGAUGAGAUAAAAGAAAGAUCCCUUGACAUUCAAUGAUUAUACAGAGAAACACGAUUUUCUCAUGCAACAACGAAUGAUUUCCCAUCGGAUGAGAUUUCUUUUUGGAUGCUCUGUGUAUCUUUAAUUUUAGCUCACCGUGAGAAAAUUUCUAUGACAUUUGAAUCCAUAUAAUUUUAACUACGUGUAUCAUAUCUAUUUAUCGAUGAAUCCUGAUUCGAUUAAAAUUUUUUAUUUUUUUCUCUUCAUAUUAAAAGCGUAAAUUAUUGAUUUUAAUUUUUAAUUACUCUUAAAUAUUUUCAAAAUGCGAAAUAUUUUAUGACUCGAUGACUAUAAUGACUUUUUAAGAUUCGACAAUUUUUGAAUCACAAUUUUUGAAAUUGUAUCGUAACAAUAAUUUCUUUUCAUUCUACAUGUGCAAUAAAAUAAUUUUAUUAUACAACAAGAAAAAGACGUGUAAAGAUAACAUUCGAUCAAUCAUGUUGCACGAUCAAGAUCCUGUACACAAAAAAUUAUAUAUAAAAUGUAUAACGAUCAAGAUAAUGAAAGUAUUUAUAUACAACAUGUAAUUACGCAUAUUAAUAUCAAAAAUUAUUAAAUGUCAAACGUAAUUGAUUAAUAUAUAAGACACUAAAACGUCACACGAUUUACAUCAUUUCCUAUUCAAUGCUCUACUAAUAAAUAAUUUCAACAUAACGAUUAAUAAUUUUCAUAUUUCUUCUUAUAUAAAUUCUUGACAAACUUUUGCAUCAAAAUCAUUUAUACGAAACCCAUCAAUUUAACGUUUACAUUAUAAUGUAAUUUAAUGGAAUAUCGAGUGACAAUUGUGCCCUAUUGUUAUUCAACGAUUUCGAAUCAUUUAUUUAAUUAAUUACGGUAACAAAUUACUCUUCGAACAAUAAUGCUGUAAUCAGAAACGCAUGAAAUUCUAUUAAAGGACAUAUAAACAGA